rnacentral:rRNA from 1 species
AGUGAACGCUGGCGGUAGGCCUAACACAUGCAAGUCGAACGGCAGCACAGUAAGAGCUUGCCCUUACGGGUGGCGAGUGGCGGACGGGUGAGGAAUACAUCGGAAUCUACUUUUUCGUGGGGGAUAACGUAGGGAAACAUACGCUAAUACCGCAUACGACCUACGGGUGAAAGCAGGGGAUCUUCGGACCUUGCGCGAUUGUAUGAGCCGAUGUCGGAUUAGCUAGUUGGCGGGGUAAAGGCCCACCAAGGCGACGAUCCGUAGCUGGUCUGAGAGGAUGAUCAGCCACACUGGAACUGAGACACGGUCCAGACUCCUACGGGAGGCAGCAGUGGGGAAUAUUGGACAAUGGGCGCAAGCCUGAUCCAGCCAUACCGCGUGGGUGAAGAAGGCCUUCGGGUUGUAAAGCCCUUUUGUUGGGAAAGAAAAGCAGCAGGUUAAUACCCCGCUGUUCUGACGGUACCCAAAGAAUAAGCACCGGCUAACUUCGUG